rnacentral:snoRNA from 1 species
ACCCUCCGAAUCCCUUACCCAUCGGAUCUAAACAUUGGUCAGAGUGGUUUUAAAAGAAGGACAAGUAAAAGUGGAACAGAUGUGGAUCCUUUUGUGAUAUAUAAGCUCGUUUCAAAAAACA